rnacentral:misc_RNA from 1 species
GAUGAAGAACGUAGCGAAAUGCGAUAAGUAAUGUGAAUUGCAGAAUUCAGUGAAUCAUCGAAUCUUUGAACGCACCUUGCACCCUUUGGCAUUCCGAAGGGUAUGCUCGUUUGAGUGUCAUUGUACUCUCACACUUCUGAUCCUUUGGAUUGGGAGCGGUGGACUUGGGUGUUGCUGCUUUACUGUGGCUCACCUCAAAUGCAUUCGUGCAACUCUUGGUUGGACAUAGUACGGCGUGAUAAGUAUCUUCGCCGGCACCUCGCAAGAGGGUGGCUGAUCAGGAGCUCUGUGCUUUCCAACUGUCUUCAGACAACAACUGACAACUUGACCUCAAAUCGAGUAGGACCACCCGCUGAACUUAAGCAUAUCAAUAAGCGGAGA